rnacentral:snoRNA from 7 species
AAGCAAUGAUGAGUGAAGUAUUCUCUGAACUGGUAUUGCUGAGACUCUUUGUCUUUGCUCUGACCAGGGCAUGAUCACGUAAUCUUCUCUCUGAGCUU